UCGUCACACUAUCAUUAACUGAAUCCAUAGGUUAAUGAGGCGAACCGGGGGAACUGAAACAUCUAAGUACCCCGAGGAAAAGAAAUCAACCGAGAUUCCCCCAGUAGCGGCGAGCGAACGGGGAGGAGCCCAGAGCCUGAAUCAGCAUGUGUGUUAGUGGAAGCGUCUGGAAAGGCGCGCGAUACAGGGUGACAGCCCCGUACACAAAAGCGCAUGUGCUGUGAGCUCGAUGAGUAGGGCGGGACACGUGGUAUCCUGUCUGAAUAUGGGGGGACCAUCCUCCAAGGCUAAAUACUCCUGACUGACCGAUAGUGAACCAGUACCGUGAGGGAAAGGCGAAAAGAACCCCGGCGAGGGGAGUGAAAAAGAACCUGAAACCGUGUACGUACAAGCAGUGGGAGCACAGGUUUACCUGUGUGACUGCGUACCUUUUGUAUAAUGGGUCAGCGACUUAUAUUCUGUAGCAAGGUUAACCGAAUAGGGGAGCCGGAGGGAAACCGAGUCUUAAUUGGGCGUUAAGUUGCAGGGUAUAGACCCGAAACCCGGUGAUCUAGCCAUGGGCAGGUUGAAGGUUGGGUAACACUAACUGGAGGACCGAACCGACUAAUGUUGAAAAAUUAGCGGAUGACCUGUGGCUGGGGGUGAAAGGCCAAUCAAACCGGGAGAUAGCUGGUUCUCCCCGAAAGCUAUUUAGGUAGCGCCUCGUGAAUUCAUCUCCGGGGGUAGAGCACUGUUUCGGCUAGGGGGCCAUCCCGGCUUACCAACCCGAUGCAAACUGCGAAUACCGGAGAAUGUUAUCACGGGAGACACACGGCGGGUGCUAACGUCCGUCGUGAAGAGGGAAACAACCCAGACCGCCAGCUAAGGUCCCAAAGUCAUGGUUAAGUGGGAAACGAUGUGGGAAGGCCCAGACAGCCAGGAUGUUGGCUUAGAAGCAGCCAUCAUUUAAAGAAAGCGUAAUAGCUCACUGGUCGAGUCGGCCUGCGCGGAAGAUGUAACGGGGCUAAACCAUGCACCGAAGCUGCGGCAGCGACCUAAGGCGAGGCCGAAAGGCGUAGUCGAUGGGAAACGGGUUAAUAUUCCCGUACUUGGUGUUACUGCGAA
rnacentral:rRNA from 1 species